rnacentral:rRNA from 1 species
AUUGAACGCUGGCGGCAUGCCUUACACAUGCAAGUCGAACGGUAGAGGGGCAACCCUCGAGAGUGGCGAACGGGUGAGUAAUGCAUCGGAACGUGCCCAGUCGUGGGGGAUAACACUUCGAAAGAAGUGCUAAUACCGCAUACGACCUGAGGGUGAAAGCGGGGGACCGCAAGGCCUCGCGCGAUUGGAGCGGCCGAUGUCAGAUUAGGUAGUUGGUGGGGUAAAGGCCCACCAAGCCGACGAUCUGUAGCUGGUCUGAGAGGACGACCAGCCACACUGGGACUGAGACACGGCCCAGACUCCUACGGGAGGCAGCAGUGGGGAAUUUUGGACAAUGGGCGCAAGCCUGAUCCAGCCAUGCCGCGUGCGGGAAGAAGGCCUUCGGGUUGUAAACCGCUUUUGUCAGGGAAGAAACGCUCUGGGCUAAUACCCUGGGGUAAUGACGGUACCUGAAGAAUAAGCACCGGCUAACUACGUGCCAGCCGCCGCAGUAAGAC